rnacentral:rRNA from 1 species
CCUACGGGAUGCUGCAGUGGGGAAUAUUGCGCAAUGGGCGAAAGCCUGACGCAGCGACGCCGCGUGAGGGAUGAAGGUCUUCGGAUCGUUAACCUCUGUCAGCAGGGAAGAACGGUCACUGUGCUAAUCAGCAGUGAAUUGACGGUACCUGCAAAGGUAGCACCGGCUAACUCCGUGCAAGCAGCCGCGGUAAUACGGAGGGUGCGAGCGUUAAUCGGAAUUACUGGGGGUAAAGCGCUCGUAGGCGGUAUGUCAAGUCAAGGGUGAAAGCCCCGCGCUCAACGGGGGAACUACCUUUGAAACUGGCAAACUGGAGUGUGUGAGAGGAUAGUGGAAUUCCAGGUGUAGGAGUGAAAUCCGUAGAUAUCUGGAGGAACAUCAGUGGCGAAGGCGACUAUCUGGCACAUAACUGACGCUGAGGAGCGAAAGCGUGGGUAGCAAACAGGAUUAGAUACCCGGGUAGUC